GCGAGGCAAGUUAACACAACUGGCAGUGAGUCCUCAUCCCAACCGAGAUACACAAUACAUUACCUACCUCAAUAUAAACCACUGGGAACUGAAAAGAAAGAGAUAGUAUGAGUGUGAGAUAGAGUUUAGAAAGAGAACACCAUGACAUUAGCAUUAAUACAGUAUCGGGACCAGAGGAAGUAAGCCUGUUCAUUUCUUGUCCAAAUGAGGAGAUGUGGCUCCAUUUCAUUCACAAUACUUUGUAUGUUUAGUUUGGGACAUACGCCUCUUAAGAAGUCAUGACUUCCCUUUAAUGAAAUAAUGUACAAUUGAGAAACCUACAUUUAGGUAAAAAGGUCCUAAUAAUAGUUUAUUUUGCAGACGAUGUUUAUCUCUGAGAAAUUCUCCAUUUCUCUAGGAGAGAAAUGAAAUGCACUUAUUUUCUUCAGUUCAAUGAAAAUAAUUGAGUCUUUAAGGGCAUAAUUUUAACUGAAUAUUUAAUUUGUUUAAAAAAUGUAGUUGAUGAACUGAUCUCCCUUAUUCUCCAGCAGCGAUACACUUUUGAGAUCUUUCUGUGAUAGAUUUAAGAAUCUCAUAUUGGUCUCGGUUCUCCGAAAGAAUAGGUUUUACAAUUUUGCCUGUUUCUGCCAAUCUUACCCACUGUUGUGACACUCACCAUUUCAUUCAAAGGGUGAAAAUUGACAUCCACAGAGACAAUGCGGAAUCUCACUGAAACACAGAGAUUUUUCUCAUGAAACCCUCCAGUGGGAACUCAGGGUGGUAAGACAGAUAACAACGUGCAAGGAUUUCCAUAAGUUAAUAGAGAACCACACUUCCAACCCUUCAAAUUGCUUUUGCUCAUUUGGUUCUUUAUACCUGUUUGUCCUGGUUUGUAGAUGGGUUUGUCUGUCUGAACAAAGACAAGGCUUUCUGCUUUUGUUAUGUGAAUCCACUUCCUCUUUAUGAAGUGCUGGGUUGGCCCUUUCACCUGCACAGUGAUGAACGCUGAGGAAGAUGAUGACUCCGGAAUCUGUAAAAACGAAAUGAGCUGAAGAAUCUGCCCAGAUCCACUUCUGAAUGUCUCAGCCUUUGUGAUUUUCUCAUUUCUCUGGAGGGAUACUGACCAUGAAGGAGCUGCAGUAGAAGGAGUGCUUCGCCCCCAGGUCUGUGAGGAGAUUCCUGCUCUGCAUCUCAUACUCCAGAGUUACUGUCAGUUCCACUGUCUCAUUCAGGUGAUUAAGCACGACACAGGCCUUCUCGGUAACCCCAGCAUACAGCUGUGAUGGGACCAGGACCAGAUGAUCUUUGCUAUCGUCACCAAUCAGAGAGCAGAGCCAGAUUUCAACAGGAGUGGAGAGGAGUAUAUUCUUCAAAGACCAAUCCAGAAGGCCUUAGAAACUCAGAAAGCCCCUGCCAAGUUAAACAUCAGUAUGCUUCUCCUAUACUGUGGAAAUAGUCACUCUCGAUAUUAGUAAACCUAUUCAUAAGUUAUGGAUAAGCACUCCAUGAGUUGUUAUAUAUUUUGUAUAGAAAUAAUUUUCAAAUUUAGAAAUUUUCAAUGAAUCAAGUAAAUGUGAUCAUACACACGCAUGCGCACGCACACACGCACACACACAAAUAUUAUUCAGAAACCCUGCUGUUCAUGACAACAUGAAUGGGCCUUGAGGGCAUUAUGCUAAGUGAAAUGAACCAGAUAGAGAAAGACAAAUACUGAUGGUAUCUCUUACAGCAUGCGGACGGAGUCUUUAAAAAAAAGUCAAACUCAGAGACAUAGAGUAGAAAAAUGGUUACCAGGGAAUGGGGGAUGGAGGAGAAUAGGGAUAGGUUGGUAAAAGAACACAAACUUUCAUUUAUAAGUUGAAUAGGUUCUGUCUGAGGAUGUACUAUAUAACAUGGUGACUAUAGUUGAUAACAUUGUAUAAUUGAAAUUAUAUAAUUGAAAUUUGCUAUGAGAACAGAACUUAAGUGUUCUCAACCCCCCAAAUAAAUAUUUGAUAGAUGUGUUAGAUUAAUCGUUAGAUUAAUCUAUGUGAUAGAUUAAUUAAACUCAAUGGGGAGAAUCCUUUCACAAUAUAUAUGUGUGUACACUUUAAAUCUCUUACAAGUUUAAUUCUCAGUUAUAUGUAAAUAAACCCCAAAAAAACUUUAAAUUUUUUUUAGUAACAAACAAUAUUAUUAAUCAGUUAAUGAUCAUUGAAACCAGUAAGAAAACCUAUCCACAUGUGGUCUUGGGUUUCAAUGGAUGAUAUCACAAACCUCUUUGUUCCAGGAAACAUUGAGAGAUAACGAUAAUACGUGGAGAGGAGCUGAAUCGUUUUUCACUACUGUUUCAGAAGCAACCUUAGCUCUUUUCUUUCUUCCACUCUCUAGAGAUGGAAGAAAAACUAGGCUAAUCAUCAGACAUAUUACCAUAUACAUGCAGAAGAAAAUAUUCUCCUGUUGCGGUUUGCCCAUUGUUUACAAUCACCUAAAUGUGCUGCACUUUGUGAUGUUCUGCUGGCCCAUGACUCUCUCUCUUUCUGAAGUGUCCUGGUCUAGCUGGAAAACUUCUAUUGGCUUCAUAAGACUCAUCUCAAAAGCAACUUUCUUAUGUGGACUUUGGUGAUGCCUCUUCCCUUGUAUCAGUUCCCAUGAAGAGUUAGGUUAUCUCUGAGUAUUCUCACAGAAUCCUACAAUGCCUGGUUCUGUUUUUGCAUUUUAUUUCAUUCGCUGUGCACCAUCUCUCUCUCUCUCUCUCUUU